UAAUACAGAGGUGGCAAGCGUUGUUCGGAAUUACUGGGCGUAAAGGGCGCGUAGGCGGUUUCGUAAGUCCCGUGUGAAAGCCCCCGGCUCAACUGGGGAACUGCACGGGAAACUGCGAGGCUUGAGUUCGGGAGAGGGAAGCGGAAUUCCGGGUGUAGCGGUGAAAUGCGUAGAUAUCCGGAGGAACACCGGUGGCGAAGGCGGCUUCCUGGACCGACACUGACGCUGAGGCGCGAAAGCUAGGGGAGCAAACGGGAUUAGAUACCCCGGUAGUCCUAGCUGUAAACGAUGAGUGCUGGGUGUAGGGGGUGUUAACCCCUCCUGUGCCGAAGCUAACGCAUUAAGCACUCCGCCUGGGGAGUACGGUCGCAAGGCUG
rnacentral:rRNA from 1 species